rnacentral:lncRNA from 1 species
AGUUGGUACUUGGUGCCAAGAUUUGAAAAUUUUUUAAAGUAUUUGUUUUUUAGACUUAGGCACUGCAGUGCACUCUUUAAAUCCCCAAAUGAUUACUGGUGCCAAAAUCUAGGUGCAAGAAUAUUUUCUAUUUGGUUGGUUUUCAAGGAAACCUAGUUUGGUUUUGAGACUUGGCUCGUUAUUGUUUGGUGCCAUGAUUUGGAAAUUUUUGAAAGUCCUUGUUUUUUACAUUUAGGGAUGUAAUGCACACUUUAAAUCCCGAAAUGAAGACUGGUGACAAAAAAUAGGUGCAAGCAAAUUUUCCAUUUGGUUGGUUUUCAAGCAAGCCAAGUUUCGUGAUGAGAUUUGGCUAUAUUGGUACUUGGUGCCAAGAUUUGAAAUUUUGUGAAAGUCUUGGUUUUUGAGACUUAGGGACUGCAAUGCACUCUUUAAAUCCCCAAAUGCUUACUGGUGUCAAAUCUAGGUGCAAGAAGAUUUUCAAUUUGGUUGGUUUUCAAGCAAACCUAGUUUGGUUGUGAGACUUGGCUAGGUUAUUGUUUGGUGCCAAAAUUUGGAAAUUUUUGAAAGUCUUGGUUUUUGACUUUUAGGGAUGUAAUGCACCUUUAAAAUCCCGAAAUGAUGACUGGUGACAAAAAAUAGGUGCAUAAAAAUUUUCAAUUUGAUUAGUUUUCAAUCAAGCCAAGUUUGGUGAUGAGAGUUGGCUAAGGUUAUACUUGGUGCCAAGAUUUGAAAAUUUUUGAAAAACAUGGUUUUUGAUACUUAGGGACUGCACUCUUUAAAUCCCUAAAUGACUUUCAAUUUGGUUGGUUUUCAAGCAAGCCAAGUUUGGUGAUGAAACUUGGCUAAGUUGGUUCUUAGUGCGAAGAUUUGAAAAUUUUUGAAAGUCUUGCUUUUUGAGACAUAGGGAAUGCAAUGCACUCUUUAAAUCCCAAAUGCUUACUGGUGUCAAAAUCUAGGUGCAAGAAGAUUUUCAAUUUGGUUGGUUUUCAGGCACACCUAGUUUGGUUUUGAGACUUGGCUAGGUUAUUGUUUGGUGCAAAAAUUUGGAAAGUUUUGAAAUUCUUGGUUUUUGACAUUUAGGGAUGUAAUGCACACUUUAAAUCCCUAAAUGGUGACUGGUGAAAAAAAAUAGGUGCAUGAAAAUUUUAAAUUUUGAUUGGUUUUCAAGCAAGCCAAGUUUCGUGAUGAGAUUUAGCUAAGUUAUUGUUUGGUGCCAAAAUUUGGAAAUUUUUGAAAGUCAUGGUUUUUGACAUUUAGAGAUGUAAUGCACGCUUUAAAUCCCGAAAUGAUGACUGGUGACAAAAAAUAGUUGCAUGAAAAUUUUCAAUUUGAUUGGUUUUCAAGCAAGCCAAGUUUGGUGAUGAGAUUUUGCUAAGGUUGUACUUGGUGCCAAGAUUUGAAAAUUUUUGAAAGUCUUGUUUUUAAGACUCAGGGACUGCAAUGCACUCUUUAAAUCCCAAAUGCUUACUGGUGUCAAAAUCUAGGUGCAAGAAGAUUUUGAAUUUGGUUGGUUUUCAAGGAAACCUAGUUUGGUUUUGAGACUUGGCUAGGUUAUUGUUUGGUGCCAAGAUUUGGAAAUUUUUGAAAGUCUCGGUUGUUGACAUUUAGGGAUGUAAAGCACACUUUAAAUAAAUAAAUGAUGACCGGUGAAAAAAAAUAGGUGCAUCAAAAUUUUCAAAUUGAUUGGUUUUCAAGCAAGCCUAGUUUGGUGAUGAGCUUUGGCUAAGGUUGUACUUGGUGCCAAGAUUUGAAAAUUUUUGAAACUCUUUGUUUUUUUUACUUAGGGACAGCAAUGCACACUUUAAAUCCCUAAAUGAUUACUGGUGUCAAAAUCUAGGUGCAAGAAGAUUUUCAAUUUGGUUUGUUUUCAAGCAAACCUAGUUUGGUUUUGAGACUUGGCUAGGUUUUUGUUUGGUGCCAAGAUUUGGAAAUUUUUAAAAGUGUUGGUUUUUGACAUUUAGGGAUGCAAUGCACACUUUAAAUCCUGAAAUGACGACUGGUGACAAAAAAUAGGUGCAAGAAAAUUUUCAAUUUGGUUGGUUUUCAAGCAAGCCAAGUUUGGUGAUGAGA